CCCCCGGGUCCGUGGUUCCAGGAGUUCACCUGUGCGAAGGCCAGGUGCUCCCCCUUCCCCACUUCCCCCACACCCCAACCUUGCACACCCAAGGUCUGCCUCAACAACCAGUGAGUAUCCUUUCCGUCUCUCCCAGGUCCGCGUGUCCAGGAGUCCAUCUGUCCGCCUUCAGAUAUUCUCCCUUCCCCACUUCCCCAAGGUAUCCUCGCCUUUCCCAGGUCCAUGUGUCCAGGAAUCCAUCCGUGGGCCCCCGGAUGUCUCCCC